rnacentral:lncRNA from 1 species
GCGUGUGUUUGUGUUGUGGAGCAGUGUAAAGAAGAUGGCCGGAGCUACGAAAGGCAGAUAUAUCUUGGCACAUUCAUCUUUAAAGAAGUUUUGAUUACUUUCGUGGGAGAAAUGCAAAGAUACUGCCACAAACUCGAGGAUGACGUCAUGAAGUGGACGGCAUCCACGCGCAGCGGCAGGCGGAGCUUCAGGAAUUCAAGCCGUUUUACUUCCGGCAAAAAGCUUCAGGAUCUUCAGCGACUUUCAACAAAAAUCCUUCAGAUGCAGGUCGCCGACCCCGGUCCUGAACGGAGGAUGUCACCACAGCCGCUGCAAAGCUUCAGGUGCGAGUGACGUUAAAAACAACUCACACAUGGAGAGGAAGGAGCGUUUUUCUUUUUCUUUGACCUCCACCACAAACCGGGGGCCUCCUUCUGCAAGCUGUUAGCUUUUUAAGAUAUCCUUUUUCAAGGCACAUGUUCUGCGUUAUGCUAGAAUUUCCACUGAAUGGACAAUGAAGUGGGUUUCUAAGGCGAUGCCGCGGCGCCCCCUGUUGGCCAAGCAGAACUGUUGUGGACUUGAAAGCCUCGGAGCGGCUUUGGUCUUUUUAUAGGCUAAAACCGCAUUCCUGGAGUCUUUGAAGAAUUUCUCUAAGUAGUAGCUUGGACUGCCAACGCUUAAGCACUAUUUUAUGAGUGUGAGUGCUGCAGGAGCCCCUUUGAAGCCAACCCAUUUAGCAUCCCCGAGUCGAUGGCUUUGUAAUGCAGAAGUAAAUAAACUGCAGUGGCUCAAUGAGCAACCAUUGUUUUCUCCUGCACACAUGAAGACAAACGUUCUCCGCUUGCAUCAUGUUUCUCUUUGUAAUUAUUCUGCAGUUUGAGGAGCAGCUCGGUCCAUGUUUGCAGCGCGUCACAUGAAAGUGUCUGAGUCAGAAAACCCACAGAGGUUCCUCCACUCCUCUGAGAAAAAUG